CAGCCGCCGCGGGAAAACGUAGGUGGCAAGCGUUGUCCGGAAUUAUUGGGCGUAAAGGGCUCGCAGGCGGUUUCUUAAGUCUGAUGUGAAAGCCCCCGGCUCAACCGGGGAGGGUCAUUGGAAACUGGGAAACUCGAGUGCAGAAGAGGAGAGUGGAAUUCCACGUGUAGCGGUGAAAUGCGUAGAGAUGUGGAGGAACACCAGUGGCGAAGGCGACUCUCUGGUCCGUAACUGACGCUGAGGAGCGAAAGCGUGGGGAGCGAACAGGAUUAGAUACCCCCGUAGUCCCUGUCUCUUAUAC
rnacentral:rRNA from 1 species